AAAUUUUCAAUUGCACAGUUUUGCGCAAUAGCAAGAAAUAUUCAAUUGCACAGUAUUGUCCCGUUUUCAAAUUGGUCUACAUUAAGGUCCAAAGGGUCAAAAAUUAAACUUUGUUUGAUUUCAACAAAAAAUGAAUAUAUGGGGUUCUUCAAUGUGCUGAAUCUAACCAUGUAUUUAGAUUUUUAAUAUUUGGGUCCAGUUAUCCAAAUGGUCAACAUUGAGGGAUAAAGGGUCUAAAAUUAAAGAUUAUUUGAUUUCAUCAAAAAUUGAAUUCUUG
rnacentral:lncRNA from 1 species